GCGGGGCCGAGCCGGAGGGAAGGCUGGCUCCUGGUGUGCGGCGUUCUCUGGUGGACAGAGCGGCCCUUGGCGGCGGUGUGCGGACGGGCUGCUCCCCACGCACAGAUCCGGGGGCUCCGUGGGUUCCUCUGCUCUUCAGCCCAAGAAGAUCCCGAGUGUGCGCUUUGAGUCACCAGGGACUGCCCUCUGAGCCGUCUCCAGGAGCGGUUCCCUCUGCCCAGCGCUGCGGAAGGUGCCAUGGCCCAAAUCAGCAGAAGACAUGCGAGGAGGCGGCAGUUUAGGGCCUCAGCGGGAGGAAACCCCUGAAGAUCGCUUUGAACCUCUUCUGAAACUCUGAAAGCUGCUGAUUCCGAAGCCUUUUGCCUCUCCGCCUGCUUGGGGCUGCUGCAAACCUUCAGCCUGCCAGGCUGAUCCUUCCGUCGGCAGAAAUGCCUCCGCUUUUGACUAAUCCGCUUGCUGCUUGCUGCAUGCUCUGCCCUAGUUAUAGUGGAUGGUGGGGAGCUGGGAUUUUCUCUCCGGCGUUGUGGGACUUGGCGUGCACUACUUCUGCAGUCUGGGAGGGAGGGAUUGCUGUGCUGCUUGCGUGGAGGGCUAGCAGCCAGGAGCGGUUGGCUCUGUUGGCAUCUGCUGUGACUAGGUAAAUCCGACCUGUUUUCUGAGCCUCAGUUUCUCCUUCUGAAACACUGACUGGAUAAUCCCUACCUCCUCAGGCUUCUCGUAAGGUUGAGUUUAUAAGUGUUUGUGAAAUGGUUUGAAGUUGUUGUUUUAAAUAGAUAAAAGGCAGGCAGAGAACACAAACUGUGACGUAAAACUACGGUGGUCCCAGGCAGGGGCUGCAGCACCCAUUUCUGUUCGGUGGCAGCCCCCAGCGCUGUUCACUGGGAGCUGCCGCCCACAGCCUGGAGCCGCUGGUGACUUUAACUGCUGUUUAUCUAACGCUUAUCUCGUGCCACAGGGGCUGCUGGUAACAGCACGGUGCCCUGUUAGCCUUCCUCUUAUUGUGCGGCUGCUGGAGAAAAUACUCUGAGCCCCCGUUGCCUGCACUGUGGGUGUGUGCAGUGCCGUCGGGUGGCAGCGGCCGUCGGUCGGGGGACAGGACUCCCCCGGAGCCGGGCGAAGGUGAGCUCAGCCCGGGAAUCAGGGUCUCUGGGAGAAGCUGCCAGGGGAAAUUUCUCCUUUUCAAGGAGAGAGACAAGAUAUUUUUUUUAAAAAGGCAGUUUUUUUGUGAUACAGCAAUAAAGUCUGAUAGCAAUUAUGAUCUCCACAGAAAAAGCCUGUUCCAACAAGGCGCUGGAGGAGAAAGCGCAGCGCUCCUCUUCCCUGCGCAGGGCACCCUGACAUCCCUGAGCUCUGCUGGGCGGUGGGGGCUAAUCAGGUGUGCUGCCGUUCCUCGGGAAUGACCGAGUCCUUCCCCUGAUGCUGACGGAUGGUCAGGACACAACAGCAUCCUCUGGGGACUGGCAGAGCAAAACAGCCAUUGUGGCAACGGGAGUGCAGAACUACUUCUCUGGCAGGGCUCGAUCUGACCGAGAGGGCUGUCUUCUGCCCAGAUGCUUUUAACCCUCCCUCAGCGUGCCCGGCCUGCCCCGGGUGGGCAGAGGGAGGACUGGCGUGGGGCAGGAGGUGCAGCCGGCACCGCUCACCCAGCAGCGGCCAGCGUCAGCCCUUCUUGGUCAUAGCAGAGCCUGGGGAUGUGAGCUGGUCACGUUCUGCAUGUUAACGGCUGCAUGUCAACCCAACUCAACUGUUCCUGCUCUUGCAAUUGCGUAAAAAUAGCUGAACGAAAUGAAUUACAGAUGUGAUUAGCAUGCGCAUGUGAAAAAUCCUCCAUUAAACCUUCAAACUGGAGAUCGGA